rnacentral:ncRNA from 1 species
GGUUAAGUUGUCAAGGGCGAACGGUGGAUGCCUUGGCACCAGGAGCCGAUGAAGGACGUGGUAGGCCGCGAUAGGCCUGGGGGAGCUGCCAAACUAGCUGUGAUCCCAGGGUGUCCGAAUGGGGAAACCUGGCACGAGUCAUGUCGUGUCAUCCAUGCCUGAAUUCAUAGGGUGUGUGAGGGGAACGCGGGGAAGUGAAACAUCUCAGUACCCGCAGGAAGAGAAAACAACCGUGAUUCCGUGAGUAGUGGCGAGCGAAAGCGGAUCUAGCCUAAACCUUGCGUGUGUGAUACCUGUCAGGGGUUGCGCGUGGGGGGUUGUGGGA